rnacentral:lncRNA from 1 species
CCUCAUGGAGGACGCGCCCCGCUCCGGCUCCCGGCCGCCCGCCCCCCCGCCCCCGCUCCAGGCCCGGGCCCUCCCGGUUGCGUCAUCCAGGCAGACGCGGCCUCGCGCCCCGGGGGAGAUUUUCACAAUCGCGCAGCCGGCAGCGCCAGCAGCCAUUUGCUGCGCAGGGUAAACAGGCCCCAAAGUUGCCUCCAUUUUGCACGGCCCCCAAACCGCGGCACCGCCAGCACCGCGGCCCAACCUCCCGAUCCGGGGCUGAGCGACGCCCACCUCGGGGGACGCAGUCGGGAAAGCUCGACCGAGACCCCGCGGGCUCCCCCACAACCGCAGCUGGCACCCGCGCCCCCGGAAGCGGGACGCGUCUUCCCGGGAAGCGGCGGGGGUCUUCCCAGGGCGCUGCCGGGCUGUCGGAGUGCGCCACCCCCAGCUCCCCGGCGGCCCCCGCGGAGAAGCCCUGGGUGCCGUCUACGUGCGCGGCCUCGCCCGGCGCGUCCCGGGCCAUCCAGACCGACUCGCUCAGGGGCGAAAAACGGGGCCCACGAGGUCCGUCGCGUGCAGGGGCCACAUCGAGGCAACAGGGACCCGCGGGAGCUCGUCCACCGCAAAGCGCUCCCCGCUCCCGCAGCGCACGCUCGACGGCCGGGACCGAAAAGUGCAGAUUCACCAGCCCCGCGGGCCCUGCCUGUCCGCGGACCAGCCCCCCAAGGCCGACCCCGCCCCCAACCAGAUUGCCCCAUCCUGCGCCUCCCAAAUCCGACCCGACCGCACACCCUUCCUCCAAACCGAAUUCCCAGUCUGCGCCCCGCAAAUCCA